GCAAUAUUGUGGGGCUUGAUGGAGGGUCAAGAUCAUGAAAAUAUUCACCAAAAUGUAAGAUCGGCCUUUGAAGCAUUUACAUUAUCUUGCAAGUUCAUGCUCCAGAGAAGCAAGCAGCAGAGGAGCAUUACUUACUCGACUAGGAAAGUCACUGUGAAGUUGAAUAUAAGAAAUAAUAAUAUUACAAAUGGUUUCUUUGUUGCAGAUGAAUGCUUGAGCUCUAAGACUGAAAACAAAAUCCACUGGAUUUUAUGGAAAGAUGAUUUCAACAAAUCUUUGAUAAUAAACAAUGGUAUCUCUAUUUGAAAUGAUGCAAAUAUAUAACAUCUCAAAUAAAUGUUCAAAUUGGGAAUUUAUGUGUAUCAGCAGUACUUAAUAUUUAGUAUCAUUCAAUAAAGCUCCUAUUUUCCAGGUCAGAAGUGACAAGGGGACUUAAUCUCUCCUUUUUAACUUUUUUAAAUGGUUCUUAAGGUUUUAAUUACAGCCAUCUAUUGUUCAAAGUAUUUCUUACCUCCAAAAAGAAAUUGAUUCUUCAAUUUUAUUCAUAGGAAUUCAGUUUAAAUAAUUUGAUUUAGUCACAUGGUUUCUUAAAAUGGUAUCUAGGAUGAAAUUUGUCAACGUAAAGUAUUAUGGCUAAAACAAACAUGGAAAAGAAG
rnacentral:lncRNA from 1 species